UGAAGAAAUGGGAAAAUAUGGUGCAUCCGGGAGGAUUCGAACCUCCGACCGCUCGGUUCGUAGCCGAGUACUCUAUCCA
rnacentral:tRNA from 1 species